rnacentral:tRNA from 2 species
AGGAGUUUAGGUUAAACCAGACCAAGAGCCUUCAAAGCUCUAAGCAAAUCCUUCAUCGAUUUAACUCCUG